CCCAGACAGAGGGGGACCUUGAGUUACCGCGGACUGCCGAGGCACGGAGCAGUCUGGCUGUAAUGGGGGGCCUGGCCCCGGGCCAACAACCGUCAGAAUUAGCUAAUUGUUAUACAAUAUAGCUAGGUAGCUAGUUAAAGACGGUGGCAGUCUUGUAUKGGGUUCUCUCCCCGCAAGUUUGCAUGCCAUUUUAUACCUACGCGAAURCAACACUGUUGCAGUAAAAUUGGAACUUCAGCAGCGCGAGCUAGCCCAGCCCCCGCUAGCGAACGAGAAUUUGCUAGUGGAACGGGGCUUCAGUCCAGUCCCACACUUGCCCAGCUGCCAAACUAUGCAUGCAGUAGCAAAGCUGAUUUUGCAGAUAAUCAAGGUAUCAGCUUAACCCUCAAACUGAAGUAAACACAGGCUAUGAUGAAUCCUCUGAGAGAAGACUGCAAGUCACUGCCAGUCAGACAAAAGGGGAGCAGCAACGAAACAACUCACCAUUCCUUCCCUUCCUUCCUGGGAGAAACACCACACUCUCACCGUAAAGAACAAAUGGAAAAAUGAAUUAUGUAUAUUUUAGUUUCAUAUUUUUUUUGUAAACAUGUCUAACCUUUUUUUUUUUUUUUUAGUAUGUGGGGGGAUAUAGAUGAGAUCAUKAUGACUCUGAAGUUUCAUACCUUCUCUGUCUUAUCUGUGAUUUAUUAACAUGUUCGAUAUACAGUAGCCUGUAAGGGACUCUAAGCCUUGACGAUAUGUUUGUAUUUCGGGAAGGAGAGGAAAAGACACAAAGAAAUUUAAUAACACCGAUACCUGGCCGAAUUGAGCAGAGUCUCCUACAUCUGAGACCUAGCCUGGUUCCUACAUCUGUUUGUGCUGUCUUCCAUGACAUCGGCAAGAUGGCACAAACAGAUCUGGAACCAGGCUAGCAGAGACCCAACGUCUGCGUUUUCAAACUCUACAGGUGGCCCCUUUUUUGGGCUGAGUACAGUAACUGACAGGCAGCAGCAUGUCAUCCACUCUUCCACAGAACACAGUUCAAACAGCAGCUGGAUCCUCUAUGCAUGUUUUAACACUCAUUCAGUUCUAUCUGCUCUGUUCACCUCACACACUCAUCAGCAUUGAUCUCUGCUUAACACAGUAUGUAGUUAGGCCUAGACUUAUAUCAUUGCCUGUACAAACACACUUAAAAAAAAAAUAAUCUAAUCAAAUGUUUAUUUGUGACAUGCUUCAUGAACUACAGGUGUAGACUAACAGUGAAAUUCUUUACGAGUCUUUUUCGAACAAUUCAGAGUUUAACUCUUGAAGGGGGAGUGGUUCCACCUCGAAGCAUAACCAUUCAAACAUUGGGUUUGGUAUUUAACCUCUAAUAGUCCUAAUCCUUCAGCUCUUUAGGUGAUUCACACCCUUCAGCUCUUUAGGUGAUU